rnacentral:rRNA from 1 species
UUGACCUCGGAUCAGGUAGGAAUACCCGCUGAACUUAAGCAUAUCAGAGGCGAGGAGAGAAA